UACGUAGGGUGCAAGCGUUGUCCGGAAUUAUUGGGCGUAAAGAGCUCGUAGGCGGUUUGUCGCGUCGGCUGUGAAAACCUGGGGCUCAACCCCGGGCCUGCAGCCGAUACGGGCAAACUAGAGUUCGGCAGGGGAGACUGGAAUUCCUGGUGUAGCGGUGAAAUGCGCAGAUAUCUGGAGGAACACCGGUGGCGAAGGCGGCAUCCUGGACCAAUUCUGACACUGAGGAGCGAAAGCCAGGGGAGCAAACGGG
rnacentral:rRNA from 1 species